rnacentral:pre_miRNA from 1 species
UUUAAAUAUAUUUGUGAAAUUUUUGUUAAACGUUUGUCUGUCUGUCUGAUUUAUUUUUUUAUGAUUAGUAUUUUUAUUGUUAUUAUAUGAUAGAAACAUAAAUAAUACUUUAUGUAUGACUUUUUUUAUUUUUUUCAUAAAAUUUUUAAAUAAGAUGGACGGUCAAAUGCUGGAUACAUAUACCCAUAAAUACACUUUAA